rnacentral:rRNA from 1 species
AACGUAGGAGACAAACGUUAUCCGGAGUUACUGGGCGUAAAGGGCGUGUAGGUGGUGCUGUAAGUCUGGCGUGAAAUUUUUCGGCUUAACCGGGAAAGGUCGUCGGAUACUGCAGGACUAGAGGACGGUAGAGGCGUGUGGAAUUCCGGGUGUAGUGGUGAAAUGCGUAGAGAUCCGGAGGAACACCAGUGGCGAAGGCGACACGCUGGGCCGUACCUGACACUGAGGCGCGAUAGCAUGGGGAGCAAACAGGG